GUUGUCGUGGCCGAGUUGUUAAGGCGAUGGACUUGAACCUUUUGGUUUCUUACCGCGCAGGUUCGAAUCCUGCCGGCAUCG
rnacentral:tRNA from 1 species